UAGUAGUGAAUGUGUUGGAUACAUGCAUGUGUGAUGUUUGCACACAUGAAUGUUGUCUGCAUGGCAUGCUUAAUGCAAUUAGGUUGCUACACGCAUGCAUCAUUAAAUGUGGAUAUCUGAAUGCCCUUUUAAUACCACAUAUGAUUUUUGCUGCUGCAUGGAAGAGCAUGAUGUCGUACAGAUGUUUGUGGUCAAUGGACCUUGUCCGGAGUGCCAAUCAAACUUAAAAACUGACCAAUCAGAACAGUGCCAGGAAUACGUGCAUGUUUUACAAACACACGUACGUUGUCUCACAAACGCACAAACGUUUGUGUAUGUAUUUACACUGUCGAGUUACGGGACCUUAGCAACAAUAUCCAAGGGGCGGGGCUUAGCAGAACUGUAGCACACCUAAAGCUCUGUCCACACUAUCAAAUAAUUAUGCGACAAAUUUGUGUGAUGUGCCCAUAUAUGGGCAUGAUGAUGUCAUCUUACACCCAAAUAUGGGCAUAUCACAUUAAUUUGUCACAUAAAAUUUGAUAGGUGGACAAAACUUUAGUCGGAGCAUUAUGCCAUCAUAGAGAAGCAUGAUUUUUUGGAAAUAUUAAAGUCCUGUUAUGUAUAAUUGCGUUAUCAUGUGUGAUAUUUGCAUGCUGGUAAAUAUGUCCGCUUCAUAUUCACUCAUUUAUGCAAAUGUAAAUACAUUUGUGUACAUGUUGAUGCUAAUUGUAAUCGCAUAAUAUGUGUUGUUUGAUUGACUAACUUUGUUUUCCCUGUGACAGCAUGGGAAGUGAACGGUACGAGAGUAAUCCAUACAUUUACUCAAUCCGAUCAUCUUUCCAGUGCAAGUGGUAGUAAUUCAAGUAGUUCUAGCAAACCAAAGAAAUCAGCAACUGAAUAAGAAAUCUUUGAGCAAGAAACAAGUUGAAUGGUUCAAAGAUGAUCACCUAGUUGAAAAUAGUGAACGUAUCAUGUUAUCUGCUGAGGGCGCUGUUUACAUUAUGGCAAUACCAGUAACACUAGCCACAGACUCGGCAAAUUAUUCAAUCAAAGCAAAGAACAAAUUUGGGGAAUGCCAGGCAAAGUUCUCCCUCCAAGUCUUACAAGAAUCUGAUUGAAGCAUGCUAUAAGUUGUUUUAGUUAGGUUCAGCGAAAAAUGAGGACAGUUUAAUUCUUCACACCAAAAAUUGUGUAAAUGCCCUGGAAUGCAGUUUUGCCAGUGUAUCUUGCUACGGAACAUAGGCUGUUUGUUGUUGACAAAAUAGUUUGGAUUUUAUCAUAGUUUUAAGAACUAACAUGUUCCAUGGAUUGUUUUUAAUUAUAAAAUUAUAUACGAGAGAAAUAUUUUGGAAUUCAGAUUGAAUAACAAAUUGGCAUCAUCAGUUUCCCACCGAUUAUCCUCAAUGCUAAUAUAAUUCAUUUAUUUGGAUAAUAAGCCAUUCAUUACUAUUUUAUGAUCCCAUGAAAUAUUAAAUUAAUUAUUGAUUUGUUGAUUGAUAUUUUAUCCCGUGUAAUAUAAAUAUUCACACAGUACAUUGAAAAAGAAAAAAAAAAUAAAUGUAGGGAUUAAACCAAUCAGAAUUGCCGAUAGAUCUAAAUAUAAUCCUGCCAUUCACAAUAGCUGAUAGAUCACUGCUAGGCAAAGUUUAUAUCAAAAAUAUAUGAACAAUUAAUUAUGUAUGAAUUAUCAUAUAAAUAAAAACUUAUUAACAUAUUGUAUAUUUAUUUAUUAUUUAUCAGAGUUGCAUGCCUAGAACUGGUUACAGAAGUGGGAGGGUCUUGCACCCGAUUCAAAUGAGAGAGAAUGUACUAAAUAUUAACAGAGAUAUCUGUUCUGAUAUUUCCCUAGCAAGUUUCUUAGACACAACUAGGCCUAAAUAUAAACCAUAAUAAAAAUUGGUACAAUUGAUAUGCACAGACAGUGAAGAUAUGCGAAACGCCUAAGUGAAAGAUUAGCUGCACCUCCUUACCAUGUUCACAGAUACUUGCUGAAUAUAUCAGUAUUAGGCCUCCAUAAGAUCUGUGUUUUUACCCAGAUGUAGCGAGAUAUCAUUGGUAUUAAUGGGUAUUUUUCACGGGCGAUCUAUCCUUACUGGUAAAAAUAUCAUUGGUACACUUUGUUAAUAAUUAUUUAUGUAGAGGUGUGUGGUGCAGCGUGUUGGGCUUUCAUUUGGAAGAUUGGAGGUUCGAGACUGAUGCUCAUCACACUGCCUGUGUCUUGGGCAAGACACUUUAUCUGAUUUACCUCUCUUCACUCUGGAGUAUAAAUAGGUACCUGGUAGGUGGUGAAUGAUUUGGAAUGAAAUUAGUAGUGCUGAUUACAUGCAUAACUAAGUAUACUCCCCAGGGAGUGGAGGAGGUUGCACGUUAUGUAUGAUUGAUUCUGUAUCCAAUGACCAGAGAGAAAACAGUGCCUUAGCAUUUUUUCCAUAUAUUGGAUAUGUGCGCUAUAUGAAAUUAAUUAAUAUUUAGUAGGGCCUAUAUUUCUCUCAUGUGAAACAGGUUAUUAACAUAGUCUGUGUGCUAAUGCGGGGUACACAUAAUGGUGAAUUAAUGCCGAGUCAGCAACAAUUUUUUAUUAAUGUGCUAUAUUCGGUACGUUACGAGGUGCAUUUGAAUUAUUUUCGCUGUUAACUUUAUUAGUGCCAAUAUUUUGGUUUGGAUAGUUUUUUUAAAAAUAGAUAUUAUAGUAAUUUUGGAUAACAUAACUAUUGGUUGCAGAUAAAAUAAAAACAUAAAAACACUUGA
rnacentral:lncRNA from 1 species